UACGUAGGGUCCAAGCGUUAUCCGGAUUUACUGGGUGUAAAGGGCGAGUAGACGGCCUUGCAAGUCAGAUGUGAAAACUUGGGGCUCAACCUCAAGACUGCAUCUGAAACUGUAAUGCUAGAGUGCAGGAGAGGAAAGUGGAAUUCCUAGUGUAGCGGUGAAAUGCGUAGAUAUUAGGAGGAACACCAGUGGCGAAGGCGACUUUCUGGACUGUAACUGACGUUGAGGCGCGAAAGUGUGGGGAG
rnacentral:rRNA from 1 species